GCCGGGCGCGGUGGCUCAAGCCUGUAAUCCCAGCACUUUGGGAGGCCGAGGUGGGCGGAUCACCUGAGGUCAGGAGUUCAAGACCAGCCUGGCCAACAUGGUGAAACCCUGUCUCUACUAAGAAUACAAAAANNNNNNNNNNAUUACAGGCACCUGCCACCACAGUCAGCUUAUUUUUUGUAUUCUUAGUAGAGACAGGGUUUCACCAUGUUGGCCAGGCUGGUCUUGAACUCCUGACCUCAGGUGAUCCGCCCACCUU
rfam:Chlorocebus sabaeus isolate 1994-021 chromosome 11, whole genome shotgun sequence.